GGGUUGCCCGGGAAACCGGGCCGAAGAGGGAAAGCGGUCCAAACCGCUGCUGCCCCCGCAACUGUGACCGGGGAGCGCGCGCUCCACAUGCCACUGGGCCUGCGGGUACGGGAAGGCGGGGCGCGAGGCGACGAUCCGGGAGCCAGGAGACCUGCCCGAGACGG
rnacentral:ncRNA from 1 species